UGGUUGAUCCUGCCAGUAGUCAUAUGC
rnacentral:ncRNA from 3 species